AAAGUUUUGCUAGAAUACUAUCGGUAGUAAAUGGCUCGGUUUGCUACCGAUUUGUUUUCGAUGAUAGAGCUUCCAAUUGAUAGAGUUUCCAAAUUUAUGAUCGGCACCGUUAAACAUGAUCUAAACUAUUUAAACUAUCUGAAAAUCAAAUUUCACACAUUUUCGAUAUUGUUCUCUUGUCUAUCAAGUGAACAGAAAAAUGAAUGACUGAAAAUUAAUAUCCUUCAAAAAGUGAUAAUACAAUUUUUAUAUUUGAGAUCUAGAGUCUAGAUUUUAUUUUAAAUAGUUUAAAGAAUUUUUUAACAAAAAUUUAGUUGAUUUGA
rnacentral:lncRNA from 1 species